AGUGAACGCUGGCGGUAGGCCUAACACAUGCAAGUCGAACGGCAGCACAGUAAGAGCUUGCUCUUACGGGUGGCGAGUGGCGGACGGGUGAGGAAUACAUCGGAAUCUACUUUUUCGUGGGGGAUAACGUAGGGAAACUUACGCUAAUACCGCAUACGACCUACGGGUGAAAGCAGGGGAUCUUCGGACCUUGCGCGAUUGAAUGAGCCGAUGUCGGAUUAGCUAGUUGGCGGGGUAAAGGCCCACCAAGGCGACGAUCCGUAGCUGGUCUGAGAGGAUGAUCAGCCACACUGGAACUGAGACACGGUCCAGACUCCUACGGGAGGCAGCAGUGGGGAAUAUUGGACAAUGGGCGCAAGCCUGAUCCAGCCAUACCGCGUGGGUGAAGAAGGCCUUCGGGUUGUAAAGCCCUUUUGUUGGGAAAGAAAAGCAGCAGGUUAAUACCCCGCUGUUCUGACGGUACCCAAAGAAUAAACACCGGCUAACUGCGU
rnacentral:rRNA from 1 species